rnacentral:rRNA from 1 species
GAGCACGUAGGUGGGUUUGUAAGUCAGAUGUGAAAUCCCUCGGCUCAACCGAGGAAUUGCGUUUGAUACUGCAGUCCUUGAGUACAGGAGGGGAGAGUGGAACUUCUGGUGGAGCGGUGAAAUGCGUAGAUAUCAGAAGGAACGUCGGCGGCGAAAGCGACUCUCUGGCCUAUUACUGACACUGAGUGUGCGAAAGUUAGGGGAGCAAACGGGAUUAGAUACCCCGGUAGUCCUAACCGUAAACGAUGGGCACUAAGUAGAGGGGUUUU